rnacentral:rRNA from 1 species
GACGAACGCUGGCGGCGUGCCUAAUACAUGCAAGUCGAACGCAGUGGGGACGGGUGAGUAACCCGUGGGUAACCUCCCAUCAGAGGGGAUAACACUUGGAAACAGGUGCUAAACCGAUACUGAUGGAUGGACCCGCGGUGCAUUAGCUAGUUGGUGAGGUAACGGCCCACCAAGGCCAGGAGGCAUAGCCGACCUGUGAGAGUGAUCGGCCACACUGGGACUGAGACACGGCCCAGACGCCUAGAGGAGGCAGCAGUAGGGAAGCGUCGGAAAUGGACGAAAGUCUGACCGAGCAACGCCGCGUGAGUGAAGAAGGUUUUCGGAUCGUAAAACUCUGUUGUUAGAGAAGCGGUAUCUAACCAGGAAGCCCCGGCUAACUACGUGCCAGCAGCCGCGGUAAUUC